ACUGCCCAACUGCCACUACCCAGCCUGAUGGCUCCACAUUUCAGGAGUAGGCUCUGAUUCCUUGGGGCUCCAGGAGCCUCUCAGGAGUCUACAUCCCAAGAUGUUCUAACUUCCAGAGUCUCCAAGCCCAUCAAGAGCAAGUUUUGCUAAAAGUGCUCCAAGAGCUUAUGAAGCACAUGGACCAGGAAGGGUUGUGCAUCCAGCUUUCCACCUUAAACUGGUUUCUAUGGUGCUUCAUCGAUGGGAUAAGGAUGCAUAGGGAGACCCCAGGCCAGGAGUUCCUUCAGGACACGCUGUCCUAGGCCUGGGCCCUGGAGGAGGACAUGGUGAUGAGGCGCCCUGAGGCCUCCAUGGGGGAACUGAGAAGCAUGCACUGUGACCUGCACACCCAGGCGGGCUUCAGAACCAAGUUUCCUCCUGCGUCACCCUGUGGGGCAGUAAAUAGUGGGAAGUGCCUAGACCUCACCAGCCCUGUUCCCAGGGCCUUCCUCCAGCCCUUUCUCUCUCUCCGCCUCUAAGAAGCUUCUGAAAACAGGCUGACUGAGCCUAGGGCAAAAGCUGACCUUGGGUUUACUGGACAUGCCUCAGAGACAAUGAGAUGUGGGCAAGACUCUUCCAAGCCCCUCCCAUGUGCCUCCUGCUGUCACUCCUGAAAGCCCCAGAAGGACACUGGAGAGCUCAGAUCCAUCUGUGCAAGCCCACAACCACACCUGUGAGUACCAGCAGCCCUGGAGAGCAGCGGGGCCUUCACUCCUGAGCACCCCUCCAAGGGCCUAAAAUCAGUGUCAGACCCUAAGAGGAUUUAGGGAGAGGGCAUAUGUGAAACCCUGGCCCAGAGCCAGAAUUGAGAGCUCAGCUGAGUGUGGUAACAGUGCAGCCCUGGCAUGGAGAUCCCCCAGAGGAGUGGAGGGUAUCUCACCCACUGUGGAGAUAAGCCCCCAUAUUGGGUGGCAAAGGGGCCCCAUCCAUCUGAGCUCUGAAUCAAGGCUAAAGCCCAGGCAGGCUAAGCAGCCCUGGGGCAAGGGUGUGAGGCAGGAACCUGAGUCAGCCCGAACCCUGGGGGCUGCCCCUGGAGUGACUUGAGGUUCCCUAACAGCUACACACACAUCUCGCUCUGGGAGCAGCAGCCUGCAGAAGUGUCCUCAGCGUUAGACCAGGGGGACCACACGGGGACCCUGAGGACUGCAGGGACCCAAGUCUGUGGAGUCCAGCCUGGCAAAAGCAAGAUGUUCUCAGUGGAGAAGCUGACCAAAUCUGCUUUCUUUUCAGCCAAACCUGAGCAAGUACCCCCAGCACUCAGGUCUCUGCAGACAUCCCCCAGCAUUGAGACCCUCCCCAAGGGGACGGGCUGGUUCUCCCUGGCCCACAGCCCAGCUCCAGCAGCCCAUGGGUGUAGCCCUCCUGAAAUGGGAGCCUCAUCCUCCCUCACCCUUGCCUAGCUAGGCUAUAUGCAAGACCAAAGCCCAGGGCAUGAGGGAGCUUCUGCAGAGCCCAGGACAGCAGGCUGCUCUCUGGGGGCCCUGGGGACUCAAAAGAGUGUGGCCAGUCCAUCCCCAGCUCAGGAUAGACCACAGGGUGCUUGGUGAUUCCUACGUUGGAACUCCCUCUCUAAGCUCCCCAUGGACCUGGACCUCAGAGGCCUGUGGUUUUCACAGUACAGCUUGGAGCAGACAUGCUAGGCCCCUGUCACUUCCAUAUCUGCCCUGGACACCUCUAAGACCACAGGACUGGGCCAGCCCCCAAUACGAGACCCUGCCCAGACCCCUGAUAGCCCAGAGGUAGGGCCAGAGACAACUUUCCUGCAUGUGGUGCCUAUAUCUGAUAGAUCACCCUCGGCAGACGGUGACUGGCAUGGCCCAGAAGGAGCCAGGGCAGCACCUGGCAAGCUGCCCCAAAGCCCCAGAUAGCUCCUUAGACAUGGAAAGUCAAUACUGAUGGGGAAGCUGGACACUUGGAGGCCACUGGAGGGAAGGGUGAGCAUGGCAUUCCCACUGCUCAGGCCAGCCAGCAGCAUGCCCUGUAUCCACGGUCCCAACCUGUACGGCAGAAUCCCCCUCUCAAUGCACAAUUCCCAGACCCAGAGGGCCCUAGCCCAGACUCAACCUGAUCCCUGAAAGGGAAGGGGCACCCGGGGUGCCUUGGGGCCCCCAGCAGCAGCCAAGAUACACAGGAGACAGAGUCCCCUAUGGCCCUGGCCAGAACUAGUAUUUGGCUUAAGGCAGAACAAACCCCCUUGGGGCACUGCAUACAUACCCGGGGCCUAUGUGUGCCUAGCAAGGCCAAGCUGAUGAUGUUACCAAACUCAAACGACUGCUGUCCACCUUAGUGAGGGUAGGGCAGAAACAGGCGGACCAGCCACCAACCUCAUCCAUUCAAGGAAGCAGAAAUGGCCAGGCUCCUGCAGGAUAGGUGGCCACCACCAGACCAGCAACGGGGUGGAGUCCUGAGGCCCAAGCAGAUGGCACUGGGGCCCUGCUUCCAGGGUCCACAAUCUGCUUCAGGACACAGGACUGAAGAAAACCAAGAAAAUGAGAGUCCAGGAGGCUGGAUCCCUCAUCUGCCAUUCUUGGCAGUUGCAUUUUCUGGUCAGAAAAAGUCAGGAAACUUGGCACUACUCACCGCAGGAGGCUCCAAGGUGGGACCAGAGCUUCCAGCACAGAUUCAGCAAUGCCUAAGAAAGCCUCUUCUUGGGGAAAAGGACCCCUUCCUUGGCCUCAAAACCCCCACUUAUUUUGAUUAAAGCACAGUAAAGUCUUUGUUGUUA